GACGAACGCUGGCGGCGUGCUUAACACAUGCAAGUCGAACGGAAAGGCCCUGCUUUUGUGGGGUGCUCGAGUGGCGAACGGGUGAGUAACACGUGAGUAACCUGCCCUUGACUUUGGGAUAACUUCAGGAAACUGGGGCUAAUACCGGAUAGGAGCUCCUGCUGCAUGGUGGGGGUUGGAAAGUUUCGGCGGUUGGGGAUGGACUCGCGGCUUAUCAGCUUGUUGGUGGGGUAGUGGCUUACCCAGGCUUUGACGGGUAGCCGGCCUGAGAGGGUGACCGGCGACAUUGGGACUGAGGUACGGCCCAGACUCCUACGGGAGGCAGCAGUGGGGAAUAUUGCACAGUGGGCGGAAGCCUGAUGCAGCAACGCCGCGUGCGGGAUGACGGCCUUCGGGUUGUAAACCGCUUUCGCCUGUGACGAAGCGUGAGUGACGGUAAUGGGUAAAGAAGCACCGGCUAACUACGUG
rnacentral:rRNA from 1 species